UUCCUACGGGGGGCUGCAGUGGGGAAUAUUGGGCAAUGGGGGCAACCCUGACCCAGCGACGCCGCGUGAGGGAAGAAGGCCUUCGGGUCGUAAACUUCUUUUGUACGUGAAGAAGCAGAUGACGGUAGCGUACGAAUAAGUCCCGGCUAACUACGUGCCAGCAGCCGCGGUAAUACGUAGGGGACGAGCGUUGUCCGGAAUUACUGGGCGUAAAGGGCGCGCAGGCUGCGCGUCGAGUCGGCUGUUAAAGAUCCGGGCUUAACCCGGUGAAGCGGUCGAGACCGACGAGCUGGAGUGCUGCAGAGGCAAGUGGAAUUCCCGGUGUAGCGGUGAAAUGCGUAGAUAUCGGGAAGAACACCGGUGGCGAAGGCGACUUGCUGGGCAGCAACUGACGCUGAGGCGCGAAAGCCAGGGGAGCAAACGGGAUUAGAUACCCCAGUAGUCUG
rnacentral:rRNA from 1 species